UUAAGUUAGAAAGGGCGCACGGUGGAUGCCUUGACACUAGGAGUCGAUGAAGGACGGGACUAACGCCGAUAUGCUUCGGGGAGCUGUAAGUAAGCUUUGAUCCGAAGAUUUCCGAAUGGGGAAACCCACCAUACGUAAUGGUAUGGUAUCCUUAUCUGAAUACAUAGGGUAAGGAAGACAGACCCAGGGAACUGAAACAUCUAAGUACCUGGAGGAAGAGAAAGCAAAUGCGAUUUCCUGAGUAGCGGCGAGCGAAACGGAACAUAGCCCAAACCAAGAGGCUUGCCUCUUGGGGUUGUAGGACAUUCUAUACGGAGUUACAAAGGAACGAGGUAGACGAAGCGACCUGGAAAGGUCCGUCGUAGAGGGUAACAACCCCGUAGUCGAAACUUCGUUCUCUCUUGAAUGUAUCCUGAGUACGGCGGAACACGUGAAAUUCCGUCGGAAUCCGGGAGGACCAUCUCCCAAGGCUAAAUACUCCCUAGUGAUCGAUAGUGAACCAGUACCGUGAGGGAAAGGUGAAAAGCACCCCGGAAGGGGAGUGAAAGAGAUCCUGAAACCGUGUGCCUACAAAUAGUCAGAGCCCGUUAACGGGUGAUGGCGUGCCUUUUGUAGAAUGAACCGGCGAGUUACGAUCCCGUGCGAGGUUAAGCUGAAGAGGCGGAGCCGCAGCGAAAGCGAGUCUGAAUAGGGCGUUUAGUACGUGGUCGUAGACCCGAAACCAGGUGAUCUACCCAUGUCCAGGGUGAAGUUCAGGUAACACUGAAUGGAGGCCCGAACCCACGCACGUUGAAAAGUGCGGGGAUGAGGUGUGGGUAGCGGAGAAAUUCCAAUCGAACCUGGAGAUAGCUGGUUCUCCCCGAAAUAGCUUUAGGGCUAGCCUUAAGUGUAAGAGUCUUGGAGGUAGAGCACUGAUUGGACUAGGGGUCCUCAUCGGAUUACCGAAUUCAGUCAAACUCCGAAUGCCAAUGACUUAUCCUUAGGAGUCAGACUGCGAGUGAUAAGAUCCGUAGUCAAAAGGGAAACAGCCCAGACCGCCAGCUAAGGUCCCAAAGUGUGUAUUAAGUGGAAAAGGAUGUGGAGUUGCUUAGACAACUAGGAUGUUGGCUUAGAAGCAGCCACCAUUUAAAGAGUGCGUAAUAGCUCACUAGUCGAGUGACUCUGCGCCGAAAAUGUACCGGGGCUAAAUACACCACCGAAGCUGCGGAUUGAUACCAAUGGUAUCAGUGGUAGGGGAGCGUUCUAAGGACAGUGAAGUCAGACCGGAAGGACUGGUGGAGUGCUUAGAAGUGAGAAUGCCGGUAUGAGUAGCGAAAGACGGGUGAGAAUCCCGUCCACCGAAUGCCUAAGGUUUCCUGAGGAAGGCUCGUCCGCUCAGGGUUAGUCAGGACCUAAGCCGAGGCCGACAGGCGUAGGCGAUGGACAACAGGUUGAUAUUCCUGUACCACCUCUUUAUCGUUUGAGCAAUGGAGGGACGCAGAAGGAUAGAAGAAGCGUGCGAUUGGUUGUGCACGUCCAAGCAGUUAGGCUGAUAAGUAGGCAAAUCCGCUUAUCGUGAAGGCUGAGCUGUGAUGGGGAAGCUCCUUAUGGAGCGAAGUCUUUGAUUCCCCGCUGCCAAGAAAAGCUUCUAGCGAGAUAAAAGGUGCCUGUACCGCAAACCGACACAGGUAGGCGAGGAGAGAAUCCUAAGGUGUGCGAGAGAACUCUGGUUAAGGAACUCGGCAAAAUGACCCCGUAACUUCGGGAGAAGGGGUGCUUUCUUAACGGAAAGCCGCAGUGAAUAGGCCCAAGCGACUGUUUAGCAAAAACACAGCUCUCUGCGAAGCCGUAAGGCGAAGUAUAGGGGGUGACACCUGCCCGGUGCUGGAAGGUUAAGGAGAGGGGUUAGCGUAAGCGAAGCUCUGAACUGAAGCCCCAGUAAACGGCGGCCGUAACUAUAACGGUCCUAAGGUAGCGAAAUUCCUUGUCGGGUAAGUUCCGACCCGCACGAAAGGUGUAACGAUUUGGGCACUGUCUCAACCAGAGACUCGGUGAAAUUAUAGUACCUGUGAAGAUGCAGGUUACCCGCGACAGGACGGAAAGACCCCGUGGAGCUUUACUGUAGCCUGAUAUUGAAUUUUGGUACAGUUUGUACAGGAUAGGCGGGAGCCUUUGAAACCGGAGCGCUAGCUUCGGUGGAGGCGCUGGUGGGAUACCGCCCUGACUGUAUUGAAAUUCUAACCUACGGGUCUUAUCGACCCGGGAGACAGUGUCAGGUGGGCAGUUUGACUGGGGCGGUCGCCUCCUAAAGUGUAACGGAGGCGCCCAAAGGUUCCCUCAGAAUGGUUGGAAAUCAUUCGUAGAGUGCAAAGGCAUAAGGGAGCUUGACUGCGAGACCUACAAGUCGAGCAGGGACGAAAGUCGGGCUUAGUGAUCCGGUGGUUCCGCAUGGAAGGGCCAUCGCUCAACGGAUAAAAGCUACCCCGGGGAUAACAGGCUUAUCUCCCCCAAGAGUCCACAUCGACGGGGAGGUUUGGCACCUCGAUGUCGGCUCAUCGCAUCCUGGGGCUGUAGUCGGUCCCAAGGGUUGGGCUGUUCGCCCAUUAAAGCGGUACGCGAGCUGGGUUCAGAACGUCGUGAGACAGUUCGGUCCCUAUCCGUCGUGGGCGUAGGAAAUUUGAGAGGAGCUGUCCUUAGUACGAGAGGACCGGGAUGGACGCACCGCUGGUGUACCAGUUGUUCUGCCAAGGGCAUAGCUGGGUAGCUAUGUGCGGAAGGGAUAAGUGCUGAAAGCAUCUAAGCAUGAAGCCCCCCUCAAGAUGAGAUUUCCCAUAGCGUAAGCUAGUAAGAUCCCUGAAAGAUGAUCAGGUUGAUAGGUUCGAGGUGGAAGCAUGGUGACAUGUGGAGCUGACGAAUACUAAUAGAUCGAGGACUUAACCAU
rnacentral:rRNA from 1 species